AAACGUAUAAAAACCCCUUGUGUUUUAAAUCGAACAAUUACUUUUCAACAAUCAUCUUUAAAGUUCAUUUGAUAUUAAAACAUACAAAUAAAAUGUCAAAACUUUUAUCAAGUGGAAUUUUGUUACUAUUAAUUGUAACAAUUUUAAUGUUGAUGGCACCUUCAGUUAUGGGGUGCAUUAAAAAUGGAAAAAGAUGUAAAUCCAAUGGAAGUAUGGGAAAUUGUUGCUCUGGAUUUUGUCUACAACAACCACGUCAGAAAUAUGGAAAAUGUCAAUAAAUAAUAAUUUAUAUUGUCAUUUGAAAAUCUUAUAAAAAAAAAAAUUAAAUGUCAAAUAUUUAAUUUAUAUAUUUUUUUUCUCAAAAUUAAUAAUUAUUUAAUUAAUUAUAAUAUAUAUUAGAAAUCAAUAAAAAUUAUUGCAUUCCAA